GUUAAUAUUGAGUCACUGAUAAGGUCUUUGCAUCGGAACUAAACACAUUUAUUCUAAAAAUAGUUGUUGGCAUGACACGGGUUAUGUUCUUUUCAUAUAUGUUAUGAUGGUAUGAUACUAAACCCCUAACGGGAAGGAUUGUGCCUGAUGUUCAUAUGAUGAAAUCAUAAUCUUUCAGUCAGUUUAAUUGAAGUGUGGAGCUGGCAUGUCAGUUAACUGCUAGUAGUCUGUUGUUAUUUAUGUAUUAUUGUCAUUUUGUUUAUUUUCUUUGGUUACAUUUUCUGACAUCAGACUCGGAUUUCUCUUGAACUGAAUUUUAAUGUGCGUUUUGUUAUGCGUUUACUUUACUACAUUGGUUAGAGGUAUAGGGGGAGGGUUGAGAUCUCACAAACAUGUUUAACCCCG
rnacentral:lncRNA from 1 species